AUGCGGGAUGGCCAAUUCCACACCAGAGGGUCAACAACUGUGUGUCCACAGAGGUUGCCUGACCAAGAGUACUCAGUUCAAGACUGAGGCGAGCAUGCAAUGUAAGACUGAGGAAACCUCCAAACCAGGAAAUUCAUCAUAUCUCAAGAUGGUGUCAGCUUUGGUGCUCAUACCUGAAAUACUAUCUGUGUCUCUGAAUGGAGGUUGGAGAACAGAGCAAAAGAGAGCAGGACAAACUUUGCACAUUGAGAAAAGGUAG
rnacentral:lncRNA from 1 species